UCUCCUUGCUUAUCUGUAUGUCACUAAUUCAAUUUCUUCCUUCUCUCUCGUCCUUUCUCUCAUUCUCUCUCUUCAUUUUCCUUUUUUUUCUCAAGAAGAAUUUGUUCUUCUUUCUCUUCCUUCAACUUUACUGCAGAUUUGGAGAUGAAAAUGCGUAUCGAUGUGAGAGGGUAUUGUCGAAUUUGUUGGGCGAUUCUUUUUCUCUUGGAAGCAAUUUUAUCAAUAUGGCGAAGAAGUUAGUUGCGGUGUGUCAAACUCUGGGUUGAAGCAAUCGUCGGAGGUCGAUGAGUUCUUAAGCUCUCGUCGCCUUUGUGAACCGGCAUCUCACCUAGCUUUGCAUGUUAUUUUUCUGUGUUGUGCGAUGAACACGGUUUGAUGAUGUUGCAGAGUGGUUUCGUUCGCGUUUGAAGCUGUGGUGUUCGGUUUUGAACGUUUGAUGAUGAAUGUUGAGUUGAAACAACUCUGAAUCGGCAAAGCUAGGAGAUUCAUCCAAGCUGCACAAUCUUCUUACAAGUGCACUGAAACGUGAACUCAAGAACAAGCAGAAAUAAGAGAUUUUGAAGAAAAUGGAAGAGGAGAAAUCCAAAAAGGCUCUUGAAACACUAAGUGUCAUAGAGAACAAACCUGCAGCUGCUGACGAUGAAGAUAUGGAUCCAACUCAUCUGAAGGACAUGGGGAGAAAGGGAUUGCAGCACUAUUUGAUGACUCUAAAGGUAUCAUUAAAAG